UUAAGCUGUUGGGUUCGGUUGGUUUGUCGUUCGGCAUGUGAGAGUUGUACUGGUGCAACAAUUACUUGUUUGCAAAUUGACGCUAUAUGCACAUCAAGGACGUUUCACCCGUGAUAGAAA